GCACUUUUUACACUUCUCACAGCAGGAACUGCAUAGUACGCGAUGCCUACAUGGAAGAAGAACCACGCUAAUUUCUCCCUCGAAACAAACCCGACAUAACACCUUUUCAUUUUGAAGCCUUUCAUAUUCCUGCUGACUGUAUUUGGUGAUUUCUGUCUGCUCCCCAAGUGCAGCUUGAAGGCGCCAGACCUCCUCUGCUAGAUCUUUCUUGGGCAUCUUCUUCACAAUCUCAGGAGGAUAUCCACUAAAAGUAUUGUACCCAGAGGCACCCUCAUGGUACAAUCGUGCCUGCUCCUCUCGACUGCCUUCAUCAAUUGACCACCACCCCAAUAGCCUUGAACCAUGAUGAAAGAACUCCAAACAGGCAUGAGCCCUAACUGAAAAACUGAAAUACAAU
rnacentral:misc_RNA from 1 species